AACGAACGCUGGCGGCAUGCCUAACACAUGCAAGUCGAACGAGACCUUCGGGUCUAGUGGCGCACGGGUGCGUAACGCGUGGGAACCUGCCCUUAGGUUCGGAAUAACUCCCCGAAAGGGGUGCUAAUACCGGAUAAUGUCUUCGGACCAAAGAUUUAUCGCCUUUGGAUGGGCGCGCGUUGGAUUAGCUAGUUGGUAGGGUAAAAGCCUACCAAGGCGACGAUCCAUAGCUGGUAUGAGAGGAUGAUCAGCCACACUGGGACUGAGACACGGCCCAGACUCCUAGGGGGGGGCGGAGGGGGGAAUAUGGGACAAGGGGGGAAAGCAGAAGCCAGCAAGGCCGGGGGGGUGAUGAAGGCGUUAGGGUUGUAAAGCUCUUUUACCCGGGAUGAUUAGGAGAGACCCGGAGAAAAAGCCCCGGGCAAACUCGUG
rnacentral:rRNA from 1 species